rnacentral:tRNA from 1 species
GAAAUAUCCUUAUGAACUUCUAAUUCAUUCUUAAGUGAAUAACCCACUAUAUUUCU